rnacentral:misc_RNA from 1 species
AACGCAUAUUGCGCUCGAGGCUUCGGCCGAGAGCAUGUCUGCCUCAGCGUCGGCAUACCCCCUCACUCCCACUAAACAUGGAAGUGGAGCUGGCAGUCUUAGCAACAUUCGAUGCUAGGUCUGCUGAAGCACAGAGGCUUGAACAUGGACCCAAUAAGGGUAACAACUAGGUAGGCAUGUCAAACGACUGCAUAAUCUUAGUUGGUGCCUGGGGCCGUGUUGGAGGCCAUGCAGGAUCCAGCCUUGUGCUGGAAUACUUCAAUUUCGACCUGAGCUCAGGCAAGGUUACCCGCUGAACUUAA